rnacentral:rRNA from 1 species
GAGUUUGAUUAUGGCUCAGGAUGAACGCUGGCGGCGUGCCUAAUACAUGCAAGUCGAACGGGAGGCUUGGAGCAAUCUAAGCCGAGAGUGGCGCACGGGUGAGUAACACAUGGCUGACCUGCCCUCCAGAGGGGGAUAACGGUUGGAAACGGCCGCUAAUACCCCAUACGCUCCCUGGGGUUAGAGGACCGGGGAGGAAAGCGGUAGUGCUGGAGGAGGGGGCUGUGGCCCAUCAGCUAGUUGGUAGGGUAAAGGCCUACCAAGGCGACGACGGGUAGGGGGCCUGAGAGGGUGACCCCCCACACUGGGACUGAGACACGGCCCAGACUCCUACGGGAGGCAGCAGUAAGGGAUCUUGCGACAAUGGGCGAAAGCCUGACGCAGCAACGCCGCGUGCGGGAUGACGGCCUUCGGGUUGUAAACCGCUUUUCGGGGGGAAGAGGGAGGACGGUACCCUCGGAAUAAGUCUCGGCUAACUACGUGCCAGCAGCCGCGGUAAAACGUAGGAGGCGAGCGUUAUCCGGAUUUACUGGGUGUAAAGCGCGUGCAGGCGGUCGUGUAAGUGGUGCGUGAAAGCUCCCGGCUCAACCGGGAGAGGACGUGCCAAACUGCAGGGCUAGAGGCAGGUAGAGGCGUGUGGAAUUCCGGGUGUAGUGGUGAAAUGCGUAGAGAUCCGGAGGAACACCAGUGGCGAAGGCGACACGCUGGGCCUGGCCUGACGCUCAGACGCGAAAGCAUGGGGAGCGAACGGGAUUAGAUACCCUGGUAGUC